rnacentral:sRNA from 1 species
CCAGAGAAAAGGGAGCCGCGCAGCGCCUACGGGAGUCCGGCGGCAGCAGCCGGUACCGGAAACCACGGGAAUCUCUCAGGGAAUCUCCGUCGUCAGGCCAGAGGCCCCAGUCCCCGCGAGUCCAGAUGCCUGUCCAGCCUCCAAGCAAAGACACAGAAGAGAUGGAAGCAGAGGGUGAUUCUGCCGCUGAGAUGAAUGGGGAGGAGGAAGAGAGUGAGGAGGAGCGGAGCGGCAGCCAGACAGAGUCAGAAGAGGAGAGCUCUGAGAUGGAUGAUGAGGACUAUGAGCGACGCCGCAGCGAGUGUGUCAGUGAGAUGCUGGACCUAGAGAAGCAGUUCUCAGAGCUAAAGGAGAAGUUGUUCAGGGAACGACUGAGUCAGCUGCGGUUGCGGCUGGAGGAAGUGGGGGCUGAGAGAGCCCCUGAAUACACGGAGCCCCUUGGGGGGCUGCAGCGGAGCCUCAAGAUUCGCAUUCAGGUGGCAGGGAUCUACAAGGGCUUCUGUCUGGAUGUGAUCAGGAAUAAGUACGAAUGUGAGCUACAGGGAGCCAAACAGCACCUGGAGAGUGAGAAGCUGCUGCUCUAUGACACGCUGCAGGGGGAGCUGCAGGAGCGGAUCCAGAGGCUGGAGGAGGACCGCCAGAGCCUGGACCUCAGCUCUGAAUGGUGGGACGACAAACUGCACGCCAGAGGCAGCUCCAGGUCUUGGGACUCCCUGCCGCCCAGCAAGAGGAAGAAGGCACCUCUGGUUUCUGGCCCAUACAUCGUGUACAUGCUUCAAGAGAUCGACAUCCUGGAGGACUGGACGGCCAUCAAAAAGGUGGGGGCCGCUGCUGCCCACGUGACCUGCCCCACCUCAGGGCCCCCCACCCUGGCAGCAGCUCUGCCAUCUGCAGGCCUGGGAGUUCUCUGCUCACCAAGGCUCCCCCAUCUUCAGCCCAGGGUCCCUGGAUCGCAGUUGGCUCACAAGUCCUCUUGCUCAAGGCGGCCCUGGGAAAAGGGAUUUCUAGUCUGUGUCAGCCCCUUCCUGUUCCAGGACAGGUUUUGAUGGGGUGGGAAGGUGGCGGGGAGGCGGGAGAGCCGCUGAGCUGGCCAGCGGUCAGGAGCAUGGGAGCUCUGCCUGGGUGGGGCCUGAGGCAGCAGCCCACAGGCCACGGAGGUGGGGGGUGGGGCAGGGAUUGCCAAGCUGGAGGUGGGCUCUCAGGGGAGCUUUUCUUCUCACCCACCCAGGCUAGGGCAGCUGUGUCCCCUCAGAAGAGAAAAUCAGAUGGACCUUGACCCUGCUGUUCGCAGCCAGGGGGACCCUCAGAGCAGCUGGCACCGCACCCAGGAUUCUCGUCUUCCUCCUGCAGACAGGCGGACCCACAGGCCCCUCAGGGUCUGUCCAGCCAGGCUCCUGUGGUGCUGCUGGGCCCUCUCACUCCAGCUGGCACUGGCCUGGACUCCUCUGCCCUCCUCGAGGCCUGCACAGCUGUGGCCGUGGAGCUGACCUGGCCAGGCAAGGCUGCUGUCUCCAUCCCUGAGCCGCCUGCCACCUCCCACUCCUGAAGAUCCACCUCUUGGGGCUCCCCUGACAGAGAAGACAGCUGAAGUCGAAGCCACAUCCUCUUGCUGACCUUGGAUGCAGGCUCUCCGGCCUCAGGGCCAGGGAGCCAGUUUCCACUGUGCGGGAACUCUGAGUCAGACGUGAUUAUCUGGGGGUCUGUCCACCCUGGCUGGAGCUGGAGGCAAAAUGCCAGGCCCCCCAGGUUUUCUCAGGGCAGUUCUUGGUGUCUGCCUCUCAGAUUC